rnacentral:misc_RNA from 1 species
CGCAUAGCGUCCAAAAUGCUACCUCACUAUAUCUCCUUGCUCGCAGUCGUGACCAUUCCGAUGGAUUGUGUGAUGUUUCACCGCGGCCUUCCUUGGAUUCAGGUCAUAAGACAAGACAAAAGGAUUAUACAACCGUCUUUCUUAUUCAAAGCAGUUGUGAAUCAACAAGGCUGAUGCAACCCUGGCAAUGUCAGAUCGAUAAAGUUUUGUAUUAAGUCAUCGUAAAUAAUACCGUACGACAGGCAGCCAUAGGCAAGCACAGCUUUUACGUUCAGAAUGUAUAAACACAUCGUUUUGGUUGGCUUACUGUUCACAUUGAAUACCCUCAACACAAUUCAAAUCAUAAGUAUCACAAUUACAGACAUAGAAGCACACAGCGCUCUUAUUUCAUGGGAAAUUUCUGAACAAGUUGAAGAUGUAACAGCUACGUUGACUUUUUCUAGUUCUCGAACGCAGGACCACGUUGUCAGAGAUCUACAAGAUUUACGGUACAUGGCAAACAAUUUAAGAGCAAGUGAAGACUAUACGGUUUGCGUUUAUUACAACAAUACCUCGACGACACCUCUCGAAUCCUGUAAGGAUUUCAGCACGAAGUAUUCUCAGUCAAAACUCGCCGCUAUCAUUGUUGGAUCAUUCAUUCUCUUUGUAUUUUUGUUUCUUGUUGCAAUCGACAAUUUAUGCAGACGGGAUCACACUCGACAGAAACAGCUUCACGAAUUCCUGGCCGGAGGCACUGCAAACUUUAAUUCAACAAAGGCUAAGAAAGAAGAAUUAAUAUUUACUGAGAUCAGUCUUGAUGAUCCAGGCCCAUCGGCUGCACAUUUUAAUAACAACAAUAACUAGAUAAAAUAAUAAAUUUACAAUCCUAUUAGCAGGCCUAUUAAUUACUGUUAGUAAAUACUAAGAAUAGGCCCAAUUCUAUAAUUCUAAAUAGUUACAAGUAAAUAUUUAGGCCUAUUUACUUUUAUCUAAAUAUGUUGGGAAGUUUUGUCGUGUUAAUUUCUGUUUGAAUUGUUUUUAAAAUUUGCAAAAAAAUAAAAUAUCUUUUAAAAAUACAUAUUGUCGUUAAAGUUAUAUUCCAUAAUAUUAACAGAUCUUUAUAUAAUAUAAUUAUAACGCACACAGAGUACCUACAUAAUAUAUGCAAACAUAAUAAAAUUAUAAAUGUUAUACAUUUUAUAGGACAUUUGUUGUAACAAUAAACAUAAUCUUAAUUUCAAAGCAUGACACAUGUAAUAGUGUACGUCUAUAAUUUUUCGAUCUAUUUCCGAUCUAUCAAGUAAUAUGUGUGCCUAAUUUGACAAUAUUAGUAAGUUCGAAAGCUGGAGGAGAAAAUAGAGGCAUAUAUAGGCCUACAUAUAUGUAUAUAUAUAAUAUAAUAUAAAACAGAAAUAGACAUAGUUACAAAUAAAUUGCUUCAGCUUUUUA